CAGGGAGACAACACAAUGAUUUUGAUGCCUGAGUGCUUUUAUUCUUAGGCCGAAAUCCUGUCACCUUAGGUCGAUCGGUACCUCAGCUUUGAAGUCAAGGAUCAGCAGAAAUGUUGAUUGCUUGAUGGAGAUUUUCAGUUCCUAAACUUUGUCUAGGUCACACCCCACAAGGGUUGAGUCUUCCUGGGCCAUUAGCUCAGGUGGUUAGAGCGCACCCCUGAUAAGGGUGAGGUCCCUGGUUCAAGUCCAGGAUGGCCCAUUCGGUGUUGGGGGUUUAGCUCAGUUGGUAGAGCGCCUGCUUUGCAAGCAGGAUGUCAGGAGUUCGAGUCUCCUAACCUCCACUGACCGAACUUAAUCUCCAUCUUCUGAACAGUGGAAGGUGAACUCGUAGGUGUGUGAUUUAGAUGUGUCCGCUGGCAUGAACUCAGCUUCCUGUCAUUCCAAAUGAUGAGUGUUUGCUCUGAAUUUGGUUGAUAAGGUGCUGGGCUCGAACUGAGCGAUCAGUUUGAUGUCUAGCAGAACCCUUGACAACUGCAUAGGUGAGUCUGGAAAGAAUAAAGCAUCUCUCAUGGAUGCAUCAUUCUUUGAUGAAUGAUGUCAAUUCUUGAGCAAGAGCCGAGACUCCAUCACGUUCUUCUGAUUGUGUCGAGCAAUCAGAGUUUGAUUAUUGAUUUAGCAUAAAUCAGUGAGAAUCCGUUUCACGACGCAGCGUGUGAGAUUAUAUG
rnacentral:tRNA from 1 species